rnacentral:rRNA from 1 species
GAUGAACGCUGGCGGCGUGCCUAAUACAUGCAAGUCGAGCGAACAGACGAGGAGCUUGCUCCUCUGACGUUAGCGGCGGACGGGUGAGUAACACGUGGAUAACCUACCUAUAAGACUGGGAUAACUUCGGGAAACCGGAGCUAAUACCGGAUAAUAUAUUGAACUGCAUGGUUCAAUAGUGAAAGACGGUUUUGCUGUCACUUAUAGAUGGAUCCGCGCCGCAUUAGCUAGUUGGUAAGGUAACGGCUUACCAAGGCAACGAUGCGUAGCCGACCUGAGAGGGUGAUCGGCCACACUGGAACUGAGACACGGUCCAGACUCCUACGGGAGGCAGCAGUAGGGAAUCUUCCGCAAUGGGCGAAAGCCUGACGGAGCAACGCCGCGUGAGUGAUGAAGGUCUUCGGAUCGUAAAACGCUGUUAUUAGGGAAGAACAAAUGUGUAAGUAACUAUGCACGUCUUGACGGUACCUAAUCAGAAAGCCACGGCUAACUACGUG